GGGUUGUGAGGUUAAGCGACUAAGCGUACACGGUGGAUGCCCUGGCAGUCAGAGGCGAUGAAGGACGUGCUAAUCUGCGAUAAGCGUCGGUAAGGUGAUAUGAACCGUUAUAACCGGCGAUUUCCGAAUGGGGAAACCCAGUGUGUUUCGACACACUAUCAUUAACUGAAUCCAUAGGUUAAUGAGGCGAACCGGGGGAACUGAAACAUCUAAGUACCCCGAGGAAAAGAAAUCAACCGAGAUUCCCCCAGUAGCGGCGAGCGAACGGGGAGCAGCCCAGAGCCUGAAUCAGUGUGUGUGUUAGUGGAAGCGUCUGGAAAGGCGCGCGAUACAGGGUGACAGCCCCGUACACAAAAAUGCACAUGCUGUGAGCUCGAUGAGUAGGGCGGGACACGUGGUAUCCUGUCUGAAUAUGGGGGGACCAUCCUCCAAGGCUAAAUACUCCUGACUGACCGAUAGUGAACCAGUACCGUGAGGGAAAGGCGAAAAGAACCCCGGCGAGGGGAGUGAAAAAGAACCUGAAACCGUGUACGUACAAGCAGUGGGAGCACGCUUAGGCGUGUGACUGCGUACCUUUUGUAUAAUGGGUCAGCGACUUAUAUUCUGUAGCAAGGUUAACCGAAUAGGGGAGCCGAAGGGAAACCGAGUCUUAACUGGGCGUUAAGUUGCAGGGUAUAGACCCGAAACCCGGUGAUCUAGCCAUGGGCAGGUUGAAGGUUGGGUAACACUAACUGGAGGACCGAACCGACUAAUGUUGAAAAAUUAGCGGAUGACUUGUGGCUGGGGGUGAAAGGCCAAUCAAACCGGGAGAUAGCUGGUUCUCCCCGAAAGCUAUUUAGGUAGCGCCUCGUGAAUUCAUCUCCGGGGGUAGAGCACUGUUUCGGCAAGGGGGUCAUCCCGACUUACCAACCCGAUGCAAACUGCGAAUACCGGAGAAUGUUAUCACGGGAGACACACGGCGGGUGCUAACGUCCGUCGUGAAGAGGGAAACAACCCAGACCGCCAGCUAAGGUCCCAAAGUCAUGGUUAAGUGGGAAACGAUGUGGGAAGGCCCAGACAGCCAGGAUGUUGGCUUAGAAGCAGCCAUCAUUUAAAGAAAGCGUAAUAGCUCACUGGUCGAGUCGGCCUGCGCGGAAGAUGUAACGGGGCUAAACCAUGCACCGAAGCUGCGGCAGCGACGCUUAUGCGUUGUUGGGUAGGGGAGCGUUCUGUAAGCCUGCGAAGGUGUGCUGUGAGGCAUGCUGGAGGUAUCAGAAGUGCGAAUGCUGACAUAAGUAACGAUAAAGCGGGUGAAAAGCCCGCUCGCCGGAAGACCAAGGGUUCCUGUCCAACGUUAAUCGGGGCAGGGUGAGUCGACCCCUAAGGCGAGGCCGAAAGGCGUAGUCGAUGGGAAACAGGUUAAUAUUCCUGUACUUGGUGUUACUGCGAAGGGGGGACGGAGAAGGCUAUGUUGGCCGGGCGACGGUUGUCCCGGUUUAAGCGUGUAGGCUGGUUUUCCAGGCAAAUCCGGAAAAUCAAGGCUGAGGCGUGAUGACGAGGCACUACGGUGCUGAAGCAACAAAUGCCCUGCUUCCAGGAAAAGCCUCUAAGCAUCAGGUAACAUCAAAUCGUACCCCAAACCGACACAGGUGGUCAGGUAGAGAAUACCAAGGCGCUUGAGAGAACUCGGGUGAAGGAACUAGGCAAAAUGGUGCCGUAACUUCGGGAGAAGGCACGCUGAUAUGUAGGUGAAGUCCCUCGCGGAUGGAGCUGAAAUCAGUCGAAGAUACCAGCUGGCUGCAACUGUUUAUUAAAAACACAGCACUGUGCAAACACGAAAGUGGACGUAUACGGUGUGACGCCUGCCCGGUGCCGGAAGGUUAAUUGAUGGGGUCAGCGCAAGCGAAGCUCUUGAUCGAAGCCCCGGUAAACGGCGGCCGUAACUAUAACGGUCCUAAGGUAGCGAAAUUCCUUGUCGGGUAAGUUCCGACCUGCACGAAUGGCGUAAUGAUGGCCAGGCUGUCUCCACCCGAGACUCAGUGAAAUUGAACUCGCUGUGAAGAUGCAGUGUACCCGCGGCAAGACGGAAAGACCCCGUGAACCUUUACUAUAGCUUGACACUGAACAUUGAGCCUUGAUGUGUAGGAUAGGUGGGAGGCUUUGAAGUGUGGACGCCAGUCUGCAUGGAGCCGACCUUGAAAUACCACCCUUUAAUGUUUGAUGUUCUAACGUUGACCCGUGAUCCGGGUUGCGGACAGUGUCUGGUGGGUAGUUUGACUGGGGCGGUCUCCUCCUAAAGAGUAACGGAGGAGCACGAAGGUUGGCUAAUCCUGGUCGGACAUCAGGAGGUUAGUGCAAUGGCAUAAGCCAGCUUGACUGCGAGCGUGACGGCGCGAGCAGGUGCGAAAGCAGGUCAUAGUGAUCCGGUGGUUCUGAAUGGAAGGGCCAUCGCUCAACGGAUAAAAGGUACUCCGGGGAUAACAGGCUGAUACCGCCCAAGAGUUCAUAUCGACGGCGGUGUUUGGCACCUCGAUGUCGGCUCAUCACAUCCUGGGGCUGAAGUAGGUCCCAAGGGUAUGGCUGUUCGCCAUUUAAAGUGGUACGCGAGCUGGGUUUAGAACGUCGUGAGACAGUUCGGUCCCUAUCUGCCGUGGGCGCUGGAGAACUGAGGGGGGCUGCUCCUAGUACGAGAGGACCGGAGUGGACGCAUCACUGGUGUUCGGGUUGUCAUGCCAAUGGCACUGCCCGGUAGCUAAAUGCGGAAGAGAUAAGUGCUGAAAGCAUCUAAGCACGAAACUUGCCCCGAGAUGAGUUCUCCCUGACCCUUUAAGGGUCCUGAAGGAACGUUGAAGACGACGACGUUGAUAGGCCGGGUGUGUAAGCGCAGCGAUGCGUUGAGCUAACCGGUACUAAUGAACCGUGAGGCUUAACCUUACAACGCCGAAGCUGUU
rnacentral:rRNA from 1 species